rnacentral:ncRNA from 1 species
CGUUUUCAAGGGCUUAAAAGGGAAGCCGGUGUAAGUCCGGCGCGGGCCCGCCACUGUAACUGGAUCAGGAUUUCCCCGAUGUGAACCUCCCGGCCAUUGAGCCGGAGACACAGGGGACGCCCGCAUCGCCAGAAGCCAGGAGACCUGCCGCAGGC